GAAAAUCUGCUUCUCUGGGUAAUACAGGGAGGGGUGGGCAGGGGCUCUUUCCCCUGACCUCCGAGGGAGGUGGGCGGGGGCUCUGUGAGUGGGAGGGAAGCUCUUGUGGAUCCAUUUGGGGAAGGUUCUUUUGUUCAGCAUCACGGCAGUUGGGGUGGGGAGGGGAGGGACUCCAGCCCCAACCGCCCCUGGGCUCUGGGGCUCUGACACGAUGAGCCUUGUUUGAGCCUGGGUGGCAAUUGGCUAAGUAGGGGAAAAAGACGAGCGUCGGGAGGAACCAAAUCGGAACCAUUCCAAGCCCAGGCUUCGGAAGCAGCUGGACUUGGGGCAGAUCACCUACCAGCUCUGUGGCGGAGAUGUGUCGUCAUCUAUAAAAUGGGGAUCCCUUUCAGCAGAUUUGAAUCUGGUGGGUGCCAGUCACUCUCUGCACCAUGGAAGUCGUCCAGAUAGCCACCUUAGCCUCUUCCCUGGCUUCUAAGAUGGUGGCAUCCAAGGUGAUGGCAGUGAGCCUGGUCAAAGCCACCUCAGCAGCCUGUGGCAGUGCCCUCGCCGGACUUCCGUCCGCAGCACAAGCAGCAGCUCAGGAUGGAAUGGGGAGGACCGGGCCCCUGACCACUGCCGACCUCUGACACUGUGCAUUCACCCUCUGUUCUUCCGCGGGAGUCACCCUGUCAUCCACAGCUGCCCUGAGCCAGGCCACAGCUUCCCUGGGAUCUCUGCUGGGGACACUGAGUGGCUCCUCCCUGGUGGAAUCCCCUGCUGCCGCCUUGACCAUCUCCCCACUUGGAGGACCCUGACCUCGGUGUUUGUCGCGCCGGCCGCGACAGAAGACAACACUGACCCUCAUGUAUGAAUGAAGGAACGUUGGCCAAAAGCCCUGGACCAGGAGUCAAGGUUGGCGCAGCUGUGAUGGGAGGAGGUGAGUCUCUGCAAGGAAGAGGUUCAAGUCCUUAUCUGCCCCCCCAGCCCCAAGGACUUGGGGAGCAACCAUCCUCGUCCAGGCCCAGGUUUGCCUCAGCCUCAUGUGGAUUGGUAGAGAUGGGCAGGAAGCAAGGAACUGGAAACAAGAAAUGAAGGGGCCUCUGUAGUAGGAUGAUUUCUCAGCAUGGUGCCCAGUGACCCUCACCCUUUUUAAAAAAAAUUUUGCUUUCAUAUUUAUUUAUUUUUGAGGUUGAGAGAGAGAGAGGGACACAGCGUGAGUGGGGAAGGGGCAGAGAGAGACGGAGACACAGAACUCAAAGCAGGCUCCAGGCUCUGAGCUGUCAGCACAGAACCUGAUGCGGGGCUUGAACCCGUGAGAUCUUGACCUGAUCCGAAGUCAGAUGCUCAACUGACUGAGUCACCUAGGCACCCUGACCCUCACUCUUCUAUACUCCUCCCACCUUUGGAG